UGCAGGAGGAAGACCACGGUGGAGUCUGUGGGAGAAAAUGAAGUCGUCAUGAGCAACGGGAACACCUACGAGACGAGUCUGGACAUGGUCAGGAGCAAAGAAGACUUGAACGCUUACGACAACCUGGUGAUCGACGGCACUGAAGUCAAAGUCACCAUCAUGUGACCACCCUGCUCUGAUCCUGCUGUCUGAACAUCGUCCUCAUCACCACCUCUGGACGGAGACACAAACACACACAGUUAUUUUUUACAGAAAAACAUUUGCAGAUAAAGUUUUAUGUCUUUGUUUUGAUGUACCUGUUGUCCCCGGCGGGCGGAGCUUAUAGUGAGGAACAUCAGAUAUCAUCCAUCCUCUGUUUUUAUUGUAUCUUCUUACAAAUCAUUUAGCACAAAGUGUGACAUUAUUAUACAGAUUAUUAACCAUUUAUUACUGUGACUGAGGCUUUAAAGGGCAACCUCUGUAUUCUCAA